UAAGCAUAUCAAUAAGCGGAGGAAAAGAAACCAACAGGGAUUGCCUCAGUAACGGCGAGUGAAGCGGCAACAGCUCAAAUUUGAAAUCUGGCCUUGGCCCGAGUUGUAAUUUGUAGAGGAUGUUUCUGGCGCGGCGCCUUCCGAGUUCCCUGGAACGGGACGCCAUAGAGGGUGAGAGCCCCGUACGGUCGCGCGCUAAGCCUCUGUGAAACUCCUUCAACGAGUCGAGUAGUUUGGGAAUGCUGCUCUAAAUGGGAGGUGUACGUCUUCUAAAGCUAAAUACCGGCCAGAGACCGAUAGCGCACAAGUAGAGUGAUCGAAAGAUGAAAAGCACUUUGAAAAGAGGGUUAAACAGUACGUGAAAUUGUUGAAAGGGAAGCGGUUACGACCAGACUUGGGCCCGGUUAAUCAUCCAGCGUUCUCGCUGGUGCACUUGGCCGGCCCAGGCCAGCAUCAGUUUGCCCCGGGGGAUAAAGGCUUCGGGAAUGUGGCUCCCUAGGGAGUGUUAUAGCCCGUUGCGUAAUACCCUGAGGUGGACUGAGGUACGCGCUCCGCAAGGAUGCUGGCGUAAUGGUCGUCACCGACCCGUCUUGAAACACGGACCAAGGAGUCGUCUUCGUAUGCGAGUGUUCGGGUGUCAAACCCCUGCGCGUAAUGAAAGUGAACGUAGGUGAGAGCUUCGGCGCAUCACCGACCGAUCCUGAUGUUCUCGGAUGGAUUUGAGUAAGAGCAUACGGGGCCGGACCCGAAAGAAGGUGAACUAUGCCUGUAUAGGGUGAAGCCAGAGGAAACUCUGGUGGAGGCUCGCAGCGGUUCUGACGUGCAAAUCGAUCGUCAAAUAUGGGCAUGGGGGCGAAAGACUAAUCGAACCUUCUAGUAGCUGGUUUCAGCCGA
rnacentral:rRNA from 1 species